CAGAGGGUCUCUUUUGAUAUCAGCGGACGUCUAUUUUAAAAAGACACUUUAUUCUUCAAAGGAUGUUUACUCAGACUGGGUGAGGGGAGUGUGUGUUCAUAUGUGUGUGUUCAUCCGCACAAGGGUGUGUGUGUGUGUGUGUGUGUGUGUGUCUCGGUUCAAUAGAGUACCUACAAAGUGAGGGAUUAGUGAGUGAUUCAAGACCAUUCCUGAGGCAAGACCAGGCCCAUCCCACCUCACAUCACACCUGGACCGAGACUACUUUCCCUCAGGAUUGGCUAACUGCUUUUAAACAUCCGUACAGGCAAACCGAAUAAUCAGGAUCGGGGUCCCCUUCACCGUCUCCUGGAAUAUCACCCAGGAGUGAGCUCUCAGACCACAGGGAUGUAAAGAUGUCAAGGCUCAGGAUAGUUCCCCCUGGGGGGGGCACGGAGCUGAUCUCAUCUGCCUACAGUCAACAGGCCCUGUGCCUUAAACAAACAAACACACAGCUUAGCCUGCUAUCUGCGAUGGUCCUUCAGCAACCCGCUCUGCAGGAACAAUCACUUCCAAAGCUACAGCUCAACACAAUGGAGCCAGGAGGCUUUGGAAUCACAGAAUGAGAACAAUGCAGCCCGCAGCACAAUGACUGUUCAUCCAGCAGAGCCUGCUUGUUCUUCCUCUUGGCCUGCAGCUGCCUCUGCUCCUCCUGCAGCAGGUCCAGUCUCCGCUGCUCGUUGACCGUCUGCUCCUGCAGCAGCAUCUCCUCUAGAUCCUCCUGCUCUCGCGACUGAGGAGAACAGGGAUGGUGCAAAAAAGUGUGUCAAAUCUUUGACCACAAGGCUGAAUUCUCACCACCGUUGAACUUGACCCGUGGUCAACAUCUCCGAGGUGAAGCGUAAGCAGAAAAUACUAUGUAGGAAAAUACUUGGUACAAACCAGUUUAACUUUAUUCCUCUGGAUGAGAUCUCUGUUGUCCUUCUGGUACUGCUCCAUCCGUAGCUUAGUGUUCUCCACAUCUAUGUUGUUUGUCAGGUUAAACACUGCAGAGAAAAACGUAAGGUGUAAUUCCUCAGAAGUGCUUGUUGAUAACAUCUUAAGAUGGGAGCUAGGUUAGUAUCACAACCCUUCCUGGAAUUAUACAAUCAUUUCUUCACUACAGGAGCUAUGACUUAACACACGAGAGGUUGUGUUCUUAAUUAUUUUACCUAUUUGUAUUCUUCAUUUUAUUUUUAAAUACUAUUAUUUUUAAUGUUGAUUUCACUCUUGGUUUGUUCAAUAGGGGUGGGGAUAAUGUAGA